UUCCAGAAAAUAAUAAUGGCGGACCCUCAGCUUACUCAAGAAAGGAAGAAGCAUGCUGCUAAUGUGGUUAUAAAGAUAUUAAUUCUUUUUAAAAUGAUUCGUUUUACCAAAUAUUUCAGCAGUGUUUUCUCCAAACCUUACACAGCGGCGCUGUUCUUGUGCAAGAUGUCACAGCGAACAGCAGUUUCUUCCUGAUUCAAUAAAAUGGAACAGUUUGAUAAAAGUUAGCUGACAUGGAGGACUGAAAGCCAACUGAAUAUUGCAAAAAGAUUACCUGCCACAUGACGAUUGGCGCCGGGUGUCAACAUGCCACCGACAUCAUGACUUGCUCAAUGCUCUGGAAACAUUGUAGAAACUGUAAGAUGUGGCAGCAGGAAUCAGCUCUUUGCCAUACCUGUGGAAAGAGUCAGAAGUGGUUGUCGGAGAAUUUCUACAACUUCAACAGACCCAGUUUCUGAUCCCCUAAUUCCCUAGAUUGCAAUCCCAUGGAUUACUGUGUGGGUCAUAUUUGAGAAAGAAACCAACCAGUAGCCGCGGAAAAAAUAGAUAAAUAGUUACCUGGGUAGCAAAAAAUCAUACAAGUAAAAAGGUUGUAACUCCUUGUUUUUAAAGGUAGA